CAUUUAUUGCUUAGUAUUAAUGGUGCGUGUUACCGUGGGCCUAAUUACGGGAUCUGCUUGAGCUGUGUCAGACGCAUUCACAUGGAGAGCUCCCAGCGGGCGAUGCUCUUCUUCCGCUCGCGCUUGGCAGGAGAACGGCGUCGCCGCGGCAGCAGCGGUAGGGCCAGUGCUGAGUGACAGGCCUCGAGUGUCUCUCUGGCGUCUCCGAGUUCAAGAGAAGGGCGCCUCAAGUGCGCCCCUCCAAAAACCGCAUUCACGUCUCCCCAUGCAGAACUCCUCAGCGAGCCCUUUAACCAAGAUGAUUUUUAUCAAACGCAGGUCACUGCUGCUAAAGACUGCAAACUCCCCACGCUCUCUCCUCUCAGGGAAAAAAAAAUCCCUCACCGCGGUCGGGAAAAGCCGGCAUCUCGGCUCCGCCGGCAGCUUCUCUGUACCUCGCCUGUAAAAAUGUCAAAGACCGGAAGCUGCUGCGGCCGGUGAGCUUCAAAUAGUGGAGGCCAAUGCUGCACAAUUAUGCCACCUACUGUGCAAAUCAGGGAACUGCAGUCCCCAAGAGGCAGUUCCUCAGAACAUUGUUUCUUCACAGAAAAGAAGCAUCAGAUCACGUCAUCUUGCCUAAAACCAACGCGUGCGAGUCCAUGCAAAUGUACCAGCGAAUUACUGAGGAGGGAAAAACCAGCAGUUCUCAGAAGCGGGGUGUGAUGAGACCGACGGAACUGUGACGCAGAAGUACCGGAGGAAGUUCGCACUGUUCUCACCGUGCUGACCGUCCCGUCAACUCUGCCACGUCUGCCCCGUUUGGGCUCAAAGCGAGGGUAAGGCACGAAAUGGGACAGUGCAGAUGGGCUGUCUAUGAAGCGACACCUGCGAUGGUUGGGGUUAAAGGGACAAACCUGACACGGCCGUGUAUAAAGGGACACUUCUGCCCAUUCAGUUGAAACAGAUGCACCCGACAAUCAGGUAUAAAGGGACAUUUGCCGACAUUGUGUUGCAGCCCACAGCUUGCUGUGGAGGGACACUGCCAGCACCAAGGUCUACAGGGACAAUUCUGACUGCAGGGUGUAACAUGCAUUUCACUUGCUGAAGACGAGACUGAAGGCGAAACACCGAGAAACAAACAGGAACUGAAGAUAGCUGCAGUACAGGCCUGGCAGAGCAUCACCAGGGAAGACACCCAGUGUCUGGUGACGUUCAAGGGUUGCAGACUUCACAGUCACCGAAUACAAAGGAUUUGCAAUCAAGCACUAAAUAUGAAUAUGACUUUAUUUCAGAUUAUGUUAAUUUGUAUAAUUACUUUUGGUGCCAUAAAAUGGGGAGGGGGACUAUGUAUAAAAAGGGCUGUAAUUUCUACUUGUUCACCCACUAUGGAUGUAAAUACCAGCAAAUUAAAGCUGGCAGUCUGCACUUUAACCUCAUAUUCACCGUUUCAUUUCAAAUCCAAUGUGCUGAAGUACGGAGCCAAAACAGCCAAAAUUGCAUCACCGUCCAAAUACAGGUUGUCCUAUAUACAGUGUAUAUAUAUGUAUAUAUAUAUAUAUAUAUAUAGAGAGAGAGAGAGAGAAAGAGAGAGUGAGAGAGAUAGAGAGAUAUGCAGGGCCCUUGAAUACAUGCUUAAAGGAAAACCAUUUCACAUGUAUGUGCAGCUACAUUCAUUGAGAUUGUAUAGAUUUGUAUUUUAAUAGUUUUGUCAUCAAUGUGAGAGCUUCUGUGAGCCUUCAAAUAAUGCGUCUUCCCAGCUUUUCAUUUCAGUUUUCACUUUUUUUUUUGUUUAGUUUUAAAUGGUUAUAUUUAUUGAAAUUCGCCUCGCCCUCUCAGGGGCUACAUUUAAAUUCACGCUCUCAAGGACCUGAGCUCACACAAGGCCAGAAGAUAAUGGGAAAACCUAUUUAUUCCCACCCUUUGUUUUUUCUUUUUACCCUCCAGGAGCAAUCGCGCUCAGCGCAAGGUGGCAGCUGUCACCUGUCCAUUAGCAUUGCAAAUGAGAAGGGCGGCGUGAGCCCCACCACCCUUACACACACACACACACACACACACGCACGCACGCACGU